AAUGAGCACCUAAGUGAAUCACAGCUUUAUCCUGACAACUUUGCAAAGCGUGAAAUGAUGGAUCAAGCUGUCUUCUGUUGCAUGAAAAAGCAACGCGACUGUACAUGGAAGGGAAUUAAAGCUUGGCAAGCUACAGGAACAUCUGAAUGAAUGUGACUUUGUAGUUGAAAAGUGUCCCAAAAAGUGUGGAAAGGAAAUGGAGAGGAAGGACCUGAAAGAACAUCUGGAGAAAGAAUGUCCAAACAGAGCAACUCCUUGCAAACACUGCAAUAAAGACAUGAAG